rnacentral:rRNA from 1 species
AUGCUGAUUUUAACUGGCCCAAGCCGAGGUCUAGUCCUGGUUGAUUUCAUCUAUCUAGAGAUAGAUCUUAAAAUCAGGGAAGAUGGAGUGUCUCUAGACAGGCCAUUUAGCAAGGGUCUAAUAAGUAUUGAUGGCCGAGUACUGUCUAGAGAGGAAGAUAUCGUGGUUAGAAGUGAAACCCUUGAGAGCUGGCUCAGCACUACGGAAGUGAGAUUCGCAACUGUUCUUAAUGCAGUCGAGUGCACCAUUGAAAUCAAGCUUCUUGAGGGCUGUUUCAAAGGAAAUAUAAUAGUUGGCAUCUCAGAUAAAGUUCGCAAUCUGGACACGGAACAAACAAUUGUGAUUCAUGAUAGCAAGACAGAUGGCGUGGUUACAAGUGAUGAAAGUGGAGUUAUCAAACUCCGGCGAAGUGUCAUUACUAUCUGUCUGGAAAGAACGGUGGUGUUUCAAAUCAAUAAUGUGGCUGCUGGUGUUUGUGCUGAACGAACCAUUGAUUUUACUCCACACCGCACUGGUGCAGAUGAAGAGGAAAUUACGUGUGGUGCUGGGAAGUUCGGAUUCAGGGUUGGCUGUAAUCCUGUGACUUAG